GAUCCUGGCUCAGGAUAAAUGCUAGCUACGGGCUUAACACAUGCAAGUCGAGGGGCAUCGGGAAGAAAGCUUGCUUUCUUUGCCGGCGACCGGCGCACGGGUGAGUAACACGUAUCCAACCUGCCCUUUACUCGGGGAUAGCCUUUCGAAAGAAAGAUUAAUACCCGACUGGCAUAAUGAUUCCGUAUGGUUUCUAUUAUUAAAGGAUUCCGUAAGGAUGGGGAGUGCGUUCCAUUAGGUUGUUGGUGAGGUAACGGCGUC
rnacentral:rRNA from 1 species